GCAAGAACAUUAGGAUUAAAAUGAUCUAAGGAGGAAGAGGAAUUUCAACUGCAUUUGUAAAGCCUGCCAGCAUUCAUGAUUUUGGCACUCUCGUACAUAAGGUGGUAGAGCGACUUUGAAGUAAUGAGAGAACUGGGAAUGGACUGAUCUUGCUAGAAUAAAACUGAGAGGUAUUUGAGAACCUUUUAACUCUGAUAAAGAGCUGCAGCUUCCCUACUUGUUAGAAUGAAUUACAGAUUAAUGCCAGAACUAAAAUCACAGUUUUUACCCCAAUAUUACAAACAUUUCCUCUUGAAUGUAUUACUGCUGUGUUUUUUCGCUGUGGGCUUGUGUAAGUAGACACACAAAAGGAGGUAAAGUAAUAGAAAUUUGAUAAGCCAGGGGUGUUUUUUGUUGUUGUUUAAAUAUACUAUUCCUGCUAGAAUCAGGUCUCCGAGUGCAGGGAAAGAAACCCUACUAGAUUUUAUUUGCGUUAAGAAAUAGGUAGUCUGCCAAUAAAAGCAACUGUAUAGCAGUUUCCUUACACACAACUGAAUUUGUGACUUCCUGAAGCAAUUCAAGAAUAAAAUUCAUACUUUUGCAAGUAUAAACUUAAUUUUUAAGACCUCAAUUUAAAAUGAAAAAAGACCCAUGGAAAUAUCCUUGAUUUUGGGUCUGUAUUUGUUUUUCUGCAGAAGCUAACAUAACUGGUUUGGAUUAAGGAAAUACCCCAUUUUCAGAAUUUUUCAUUGUAAUGCAUGAAAGGUUAUAAUACAAUACAUCCUAGGCCUGCAAGAUACCAUAUUCACUGAAAAGGGUGAUAUUAACAGAAAUAUAUUUCCAUUCAUAUAGAUCACAAAUACAAUUUAUCUACCUCUUAAGCCAAUACAAAUGUACAUACUGUAUUUUGGAACUUUGCCAUAAAAAUAUUAAAGGUUUACUUAUCAAAGAUUGUCCUUACUCAAGGUUCAAACCAUUUUGAGGAAGAUAUUUAAACUCCAAAACUCUAUAAAAACUGGUGGUCAGUUUCGUAUCUAUGGGUUAAAAUUUGUGUGUACUUGACAGUAUGAUUUUUUUGUGUGUGUUAGGAACGUUUAAGGUUUUAAUCAAUCUCUAUUUAGCAAUACCAAAAUAAAGCAACUAUGUUAUUAGAUUUAUGAACAGAACAUUUCCUUACAAAAACAUUAUCCAAAAGCAAUUGCUUAAAACCCUGCUUCGACCAAUAAAUGUUACUAUUAAAAAUA